UUCCCCCUCGCCAUUUUCUCCGCGAGGCCCGGCUUUUCUGUCCUUCGGCCAGGGGUUGCGCGGUCACCUAACGGCCGUGCGGGGCUCCAGCCCCGAUCCCUGGAUCCCUGGACAGGACGGCAGCGGCGGACGCCGGCGGGAAGGGCGGGCCCGCGGCCGUGCGCCAGGGAGUUGAAGCAUCCUGGAUGCAAGAAUGCAGAAAAGCAUGUGAAGAUCAACUAGUACUAGGUGAAAGAAUUUAAUAUAAAGUUUGCAGAGGACUGGUGAGGAGGGAUGUGGCUGAUGUUGUGUCUCCUCCUGUGUGGUUCAAGUUUCCGAUGGUGUGGGAAACUCCAGCUCCUCUGAUUGCCAGGACUCCACACUGCAGACUUCUGAGCAGCUGAAGAUGUCUGCAAGAAAGACACAGGAGCAGGGUAUAUUUUGGCAUGGAACAUGUGAUGGAAGACUUUCUUUUGAAGACAUACAGCCAAUGCGUAUUUGUAAUUGAAGUAUAAAUUAGAGCACAAAUGAGAAGAACAGAGGGGCUUGGGGCCCUGCUCCUGCUACUCUUCAAAGUGAGCUUUGCCUUGAAUUGCUGGUAAGUGUUUGAAUUUUUUUUUUUUUUUUGACAGGCAGAGAGAAAGGGGCAGAGAGAAAGGUCUUCCUUUUCCGUUGGUUCACCCCUCAAUGGCUGCUGUGGCUGGUGUGCUACGGCUGGCGCACAGCACUGAUCUGAAGCCAGGAGCCAGGUUCUUCCUCCUGGUCUCCCCCAUGCGGGUGCAGGGCCCAAGGACCUGGGCCAUCCUCCACUGCACUCCUGGGCCACAGCAGAGAGCUAGACUGGAAGAGGAGCAACCGGGACAGAAUCAGGUGCUCCGACUGGGACUAGAACCCGGUGUGCCGGCACUGCAGGCGGAGGAUUAGCAUAUUGAGCCAUGGCACUGGCCCAAAUGUUUGAAUUUGACAGGUACAUAGGAAAUUUUACACCCAGAAAAAUAAAGCAAUCAACAUAUAAAAAAGGCUCUAAGAAAGGAGGCUGAGGUCCCCAAAAGGCCUGGAGCUCUUGUGUUCUGUGCUGGCUCCUAUUUGGUGUCAGGAUGGGCUGGGAACCCACAAGGAUACAAAGGUGAGUGCAGUGGGCUCUCUUCCUGGUGUGAAAAGACACCCAAAGGCACCUCUCUCUGUCUCACCCUCUUCCUAAUCGUCCUGAGUUUGAAGAGGUCAGGGACGACCCACAGUGUCUCCCCACACCUGUGAAGCUGCCUGUUGACUUUGGGAUGGGCAGGUGGGGAUGCACCCUGUAGUGGGAGAUGUUCAACAGCUCUGGGGGCUCUCCCCAGAAACAACACAAUUAACAUCCCCCUCCGAAGUCAUUUGCAUGCCAAUCCUGCUAGCAACUCCAGCCUUUCCUUCAGAUGAAAGCAGCUACUGGGGGCUCAGCCUGGGAGCCCUAGGGGCUGCCAUGGAAUGGGGAUGUGUCCCUGGGACCACCUCAGGGUGCAUCUUUCACUCACC